GCCGCUGUGGCUCAGCAGGCAGAGCGAUUCCUUGGUAAGGAAUAGGCCGGGGGUUCAAAUCCCCCCAGCGGCU
rnacentral:tRNA from 1 species